CCAGAUUGUGGCUCUGGAGGCCCAGGGUUCGAAUCCCUGUAUCCACC
rfam:Blautia sp. CAG:257 genomic scaffold, scf146